UCGCUGUAGGUGAACSUGCAGCGGGAUCAUUA
rnacentral:rRNA from 1 species